rnacentral:rRNA from 1 species
AGUGGGGAAUUUUGGACAAUGGGCGAAAGCCUGAUCCAGCCAUGCCGCGUGAGUGAAGAAGGCCUUCGGGUUGUAAAGCUCUUUUGUCCGGGAGGAAAUCCCGUAACCUAAUACGUUGCGGGGAUGACAGUACUGGAAGAAUAAGCACCGGCUAACUACGUGCCAGCAGCCGCGGUAAUACGUAGGGUGCAAGCGUUAAUCGGAAUUACUGGGCGUAAAGCGUGCGCAGGCGGUUUGAUAAGUCAGAUGUGAAAUCCCCGGGCUUAACCUGGGAACUGCGUUUGAAACUGUCAGGCUAGAGUACGUCAGAGGGGGGUGGAAUUCCACGUGUAGCAGUGAAAUGCGUAGAGAUGUGGAGGAACACCGAUGGCGAAGGCAGCCCCCUGGGAUGAUACUGACGCUCAUGCACGAAAGCGUGGGGAGCAAA